AAUAACAUCUGGAAUCUAUCAACAAUUGGGCACACACUAUAAUCAACACCUACCACCUUGUUAACAAACGCUCUUCGGCUUUAAAACCACUUCAGGAGGGUGGAAGUGUAAAGCGUACCUAAGCCAAUGCCUUGACGUUCCUCGCAGAAGAAGCACAGGCUAAAUCCGGGCAAGAAGCCGGGGUAAUCAGGAGGGUGCAAGCGUUAAUCGGAAUUACUGGGCGUAAAGCGCAAGCAGGCGGUUUGUUAAGUCGGAUGUGAAAUCCCCGCGCUCAACGUGGGAACGGCAUUUGAGGCUGGCAAGCUAGAGUCUUGUAGAGGGGGGUAGAAUUCCAGGUGUAGCGGUGAAAUGCGUAGAGAUCUGGAGGAAUACCGGUGGCGAAGGCGGCCCCCUGGACAAAGACUGACGCUCAGGUGCGAAAGCGUGGGGAGCAAACAGGAUUAGAUACCCUGGUAGUCCACGCUGUAAACGAUGUCGAUUUGGAGGUUGCGCCCUUGAGGGGUGGCUUCCGUAGCUAACGCGUUAAAUCGACCGCCUGGGGAGUACGGCCGCAAGGUUAAAACUCAAAUGAAUUGACGGGGGCCCGCACAAGCGGUGGAGCAUGUGGUUUAAUUCGAUGCAACGCGAAGAACCUUACCUACUCUUGACAUCCAGAGAACUUUCCAGAGAUGGAGGGGUGCCUUCGGGAGCUCUGAGACAGGUGCUGCAUGGCUGUCGUCAGCUCGUGUUGUGAAAUGUUGGGUUAAGUCCCGCAACGAGCGCAACCCUUAUCCUUUGUUGCCAGCGAUAAAGUCGGGAACUCAAAGGAGACUGCCGGUGAUAAACCGGAGGAAGGUGGGGAUGACGUCAAGUCAUCAUGGCCCUUACGAGUAGGGCUACACACGUGCUACAAUGGCGUAUACAAAGAGAAGCGACCUCGCGAGAGCAAGCGGACCUCACAAAGUACGUCGUAGUCCGGAUUGGAGUCUGCAACUCGACUCCAUGAAGUCGGAAUCGCUAGUAAUCGUAGAUCAGAAUGCUGCGGUGAAUACGUUCCCGGGCCUUGUACACACCGCCCGUCACACCAUGGGAGUGGGUUGCAAAAGAAGUAGGUAGCUUAACCUUCGGGAGGGCGCUUACCACUUUGUGAUUCAUGACUGGGGUGAAGUCGUAACAAGGUAACCGUA
rnacentral:rRNA from 1 species